GUGCUGGUAGCUGUCCAGCAGAAGGAGCUGAGUCUCCCCAGAAGAGGAAGUUUGAUAGAUUCCCAGAAGUGGAAUUG